rnacentral:lncRNA from 1 species
GAUAUUUUGCACAAUGGAGAUUCAGACUUUCCCCAAAACCAAAAUCAAUAUCACCCACCCUGUUGUCGCCCACGGCCACAGCCAAACCCAUGGUCACUACCAUCUCCGCUACCAUUUUCUUUCCCACCCUUUCUUCCCUUUUCACUUUCUUCUAUUCCUCACUAUAUCAAUUAUCCUAGUAUUAGCUCAAUACAAGAGAACUGUACCAAUUAUCGUCUGCUUCUUUCGGAAAAUUGGCAGUAAGCAUUUGAAUAAAUUCACAUCAUCAGCCUCUUUUCCACUUCACUGCAAAACCCCCAAAACUCGGCUCUCCCAAUUCAAAUUAGAAUCAAGAAAUCGAACACCACAAUACGUGUAAAUGGGACAUCGCAAUUUUGAAAAUCAACAGCAAUAGUGGUGGACGGGCUUCUAAACCUUUUCUUCUAAGCCAAUUGCAACCUUCUUCAUGGUCCACUACAAGUUCCAGCAAGUUUUCCCCGAACAUGUAUUUUCUCUAUUUUUCCUGACAAAAUUCUAUAGUUAUGCGUUUUCAAUUUGUA